UACGUAGGGGGCAAGCGUUGUCCGGAAUCAUUGGGCGUAAAGAGCGUGUAGGCGGCCCGAUAAGUCCGCUGUGAAAGUCCAGGGCUCAACCCUGGGAUGCCGGUGGAUACUGUCGGGCUCGAGUCCGGAAGAGGAGAGCGGAAUUCCUGGUGUAGCGGUGAAAUGCGCAGAUAUCAGGAGGAACACCAAUGGCGAAGGCAGCUCGCUGGGACGGUACUGACGCUGAGGCGCGAAAGCGUGGGGAGCAAACAGG
rnacentral:rRNA from 1 species